rnacentral:rRNA from 1 species
UACGUAGGGUGCAAGCGUUAAUCGGAAUUACUGGGCGUAAAGCGUGCGCAGGCGGUUGUGCAAGACAGAUGUGAAAUCCCCGGGCUCAACCUGGGAACUGCAUUUGUGACUGCACGGCUGGAGUGCGGCAGAGGGGGAUGGAAUUCCGCGUGUAGCAGUGAAAUGCGUAGAUAUGCGGAGGAACACCGGUGGCGAAGGCGGGAUCCGUGGGCCAGUACUGACGCUGAGGAGCGAAAGCGUGGGGAGCAAACAGG